rnacentral:rRNA from 1 species
UACAGAGGGGGCAAGCGUUGUUCGGAAUUACUGGGCGUAAAGGGCGCGUAGGCGGCCUGCUAAGUCGAACGUGAAAUCCCCGAGCUCAACUCGGGAACUGCGUCCGAUACUGGCAGGCUUGAAUCCGGGAGAGGGAUGCGGAAUUCCAGGUGUAGCGGUGAAAUGCGUAGAUAUCUGGAGGAACACCGGUGGCGAAGGCGGCGUCCUGGACCAACACUGACGCUGAGGUGCGAAAGCGUGGGGAGCAAACAGG